rnacentral:rRNA from 1 species
GUGGGGAAUAUUGGACAAUGGGCGAAAGCCUGAUCCAGCCAUGCCGCGUGUGUGAAGAAGGUCUUCGGAUUGUAAAGCACUUUAAGUUGGGAGGAAGGGCAGUAAGUUAAUACCUUGCUGUUUUGACGUUACCGACAGAAUAAGCACCGGCUAACUUCGUGCCAGCAGCCGCGGUAAUACGAAGGGUGCAAGCGUUAAUCGGAAUUACUGGGCGUAAAGCGCGCGUAGGUGGUUUUGUAAGUUGGAGGUGAAAUCCCCGGGCUCAACCUGGGAACUGCCUCCAAAACUGCUGAGCUAGAGUACGGUAGAGGGUAGUGGAAUUUCCUGUGUAGCGGUGAAAUGCGUAGAUAUAGGAAGGAACACCAGUGGCGAAGGCGACUACCUGGACUGAUACUGACACUGAGGUGCGAAAGCGUGGGGAGCAAACAGGAUUAGAAACCCGUGUAGUCC